GAUGAACGCUGGCUACAGGCUUAACACAUGCAAGUCGAGGGGAAACGACGGGGAAGCUUGCUUCCCCGGGCGUCGACCGGCGCACGGGUGAGUAACGCGUAUCCAACCCGCCUCUGACUGAGGGAUAACCCGUCGAAAGUCGGCCUAAUACCUCAUGGCAUCGUCUGCGGGCAUCCAACGACGAUUAAAGAUUUCAUCGGUCAGGGAUGGGGAUGCGUCUGAUUAGCUUGUUGGCGGGGUAACGGCCCACCAAGGCUACGAUCAGUAGGGGUUCUGAGAGGAAGGUCCCCCACAUUGGAACUGAGACACGGUCCAAACUCCUACGGGAGGCAGCAGUGAGGAAUAUUGGUCAAUGGGCGGGAGCCUGAACCAGCCAAGUAGCGUGCAGGAUGACGGCCCUAUGGGUUGUAAACUGCUUUUAUGCGGGGAUAAAGUGAGGGACGUGUCCUUCAUUGCAGGUACCGCAUGAAUAAGGACCGGCUAAUU
rnacentral:rRNA from 1 species